UAUAGUUAUUUCCCUUACAAACCCGAGCAACGCCGGGCGAUACUGCUAGUUAGAAAUAAAAUUAAAAAUAAAUUAAAGCAACUCAAUUAUGAUGACAUGUAUGAUGCAUGAAAAUGAAAAACAUGAAAAUGAGCUGCUAGCCCCACUUUUUGCAGCAACACUUACUUCCUUCUGAAUCCCGAGUCCUUCAAAACAUCACGUCCAGUCCGAAUUUUUCUCUCAGUUCCUCAAGUCCUACUUUUACCGGUAUCCUUUUCAGGCUAGCAUCAGUCUGAAAAUGAGUAAAGAUAGCUUUUUUUUUCAUUUUAAUCUUAAUGAUUUCAAAUUUUUGCAAUAAGGGUGGCUUGGGGGGAAGGGAUUAAGUCGAUCACAUCGACCCCAGUGCGUAACUGGUACUUAGUUAAUCAAUCCCGAAAGGAUGAAAGGCAAAGUCGACCUCAGCAGAAUUUGAACUCAGAACGUAGCAGCUGACGAAAUACCUAUUUCUUUACUACCCACAAGGGGCUAUAGACAGAGCUUUUCGCCUGGCGUGCUAAUGAUUCUACCAUAUUGCUGCCUUAUUUUAAUCUUAAUAAUGUUUACUGUGAGUUACUCUGAUAUGAGUUUCGAGCUUUAAGUAGCCGUUUUUAAACUUUAAUCUUGACUGUCCAUAAAGGACAAAAUAAAAAGGGGGACGUUACAAAGACAAGCAAUUGCGGGUGAAAUCAUAUAACAAUAUGAAGAUAUAUAUAGUUAAGAAUUUAUGAUAAAUGUAUAUAAAAAACGAACGAGUCAACAAAUAUGGAGUGAGGGACACAGCACGUUCCAACACUAACCCCUUUGGUUUCACUUUUUGAUCUCUCCUGAUUCGGUUCGUUCACUCUUAACAUGCUCGCCACGUUCUUCCAUCUUUUCCCGAAUACUCUAGAUGGAAAGCAUCUCUUCUUCGGCCUUAUUUUCCUUUUAAGGUGGAAAACGAAACAGUUGACCAACCCAAGGCUGGAGAUGAAGAUGCCCGCCCGCACACAUACAGACACACAUAUGGUCGAGUUUAAUAAAUAUAUUACUAGGCAGUGUAUAAUAAUUCACAUUGUGGUAAACUCACAAAUUUCUCUGCUUCAUUCGAAAGGAUCGAUUAGAUUCGAGUUUUGUUAAAACCAUAGUAAGGAUUCUAUUACUUUUCCUUUGACUGCCAAGAAAUCGUAGUAAUCAUUGCCUUGUUGAAGCUAGGCCCGACCUUAUUUACACAGCGGUACAAAGUAGGCCUCACAUAUUUAUUAGCUGGCACCAACGCAACUUAUUUGUGAUUACAUUUUAAAACAUGGUUAAAUGUUUAGAAAAACAGCGUAAUGAUCUCUACGGUCUCUUGGCUAUCAAAUGACAGUAAGAGAAAACCUACGAUGGCUUUAACGAAAGCUGAACUUAAUUGUUUGGCCGACUCGAUUUUUCUCCCCGGUUACUGAGAGGACUGUAGUUUAUCCACAGUGUCUUAUUCAUGGCGAAAGACUAAAAAUAUGUUUAUCAAAUAAAUAGUUUUAACAUUGAUUAUGAAUUUGAUUCCAAAUACGAUGUUUUGGUGGACUAAUUACUACAUACAUACAUGCAUACAUGCACGCACGUGCACAUACAUACAUGCACCACGCCCCUCCCCACAUAAAUGUAUGUAUGUAAGUAUGUAUAUGUAUAUAUAUAUAUAUAUAUAAGUAUAUAUAUAUAUAUAUACCUAUAUAUAUAUACAUAUAUAUAUAUAUAUAUAUAUAUAUAUAUAUAUAUAUAUAUAUAUAUAUAUAUAUAUAUAUAUAUAUAUAUAUAUAUAUAUAUAUAUAUAUAUAUAUAUAUACAUAUAUAUAUAUAUAUAUAUAUAUAUAUAUACAUGCUUAGAAGGACUGAAACAAAUGUAACUAUUUGAAAUCCUAGCUGUGAGAGAAUAUAUAAGAAUGAAACAUUGUUUCCAUGCUUCCACGCUUUUGAGCGAAUACGUUUACUUUCUUAUGGAUUUGUUUGGUAUGUAUAUGUAUAUAUGUAUAUAUGUAUAUAUGUGUGUGUGUUUGGGUGUUUAGGUGUGUGUGUGUGCGCGCGCGUGUGUGUACGUAUGUAUGCAUAUGUGUGUGUAUAUCUGUGUUACUAUGUGUGUACGUGUGCGUGAGCGUGUAUGUGUAUAAAAUAGAAAGAUACGAAGAGAGAGAGAGAGAGAGAGAGAGAGAGAGAGAGAGAGAGAGAGAGAGAGAGAGAAAGGAAGAAAGAAAGAACGAAAGAAGGAAAGGAAGAAGGAAAUCUAUGGUGUGUUAUUAAUAUCUCCGCAAACCGAGUUUGCAGCAUGGUUUAUAUUCCUAGUCAGUUGGAACUGCGUUUUCUUGCAUCACUAACGACCUUGUAAUACAAGACCGUCAUAGAUUUUCCCCCACUUCCUUCACUAUAAACAUUAAUGCUUUUACGACUAUAUACAAACAUUGGCUGGUAUUGUAUAUAUUUUUUCUAUCGAACAAGAUGGACGUGGCUUUUGAAUACGUUUUUGCUUCGUCUUCAUCGCUAAUACAGUUGAAAAAAAACAUGAACGUCAAUCUGUAGUUUUCCCUCUCCAAAUUAUAUUAGUUUUAUUUUCCUACUGGUUACAUUAUCGUGUCUUGCAAAAUACAAUCACAACAGCAAAUCACAAAUAUAUUAAUGCUUUACACAGUAAAGUCUGUGGAGUUCUAUCGAGCUUCGUCUGCUGUGAAGUGAAGAGAAUACUGUUGCUACGUACUGCACUUUUGCCCUUCAAACGGACUUGUCCCAGAUCUCGAAAUUCACCAUCUAUGUUCUGCCCAUAGAAACCACUACUAGUUUCUCUAGGCCUUCUUUUCCUUUGUACUUGAUAUUUCACACAUUAUUAUUUCGAUAUAUUUUGGCUGAUAAAGAUUGCUACGUAUGUAAUGACUUGCUUGAACACUUUAACUGCUAAUACUGUUGUAAAUCCAUAGAGCAGGUAUCUAAAUUCUGUGUUUGCCGCAAAUAACUAGGUAUGAGUCAUUUUGGCGCCGCCUUUUUGGCGUUGCUGUUUCGACGCUGACUUAUUUGACAUCAGACGUUUCAUUGUUUUUCUCAUUCUCUCUCCCUCCUCUCUCGCACUGUCUUUCAGUUUAUGCGUUAGAGAAUCUAGCUAUGUUUGUAUAUGCAUAUGUUAUGCACAAGGUUUCUCACCCUUGCCCCUCUCCUUCUCUUUCCCUCACGCUAUUUGCAUGUGUACAUUUCUGCUCACGCGUACUUGCGUGUGUAUGUAUGUAUGUUAUGUAUGUAUGUUAUGUACGUAUGUGUGUAUGUUAUGUUAUGUAUGUGUGUGUAUGUGCGUGCGUGUGCGUAUGCAUGGCCGCGUGGUUACCUUUAGGGCGAAAGUGCCGUCGAUAAAACCGGUUCAAUGUCCAGUUAGCCGUGCAAAAUCGGCUGCAUCCAAAUAGCUAUGCCCAAUCGUCUCAUUUCGACAAUAACUACAUAAUAGAAACCGUUGUAAAAUUGCGGUUUUCAUUGCUUUUGCACCACCUCGGAUCGAAGCGUUUAUAACUAAGUGUACCCAGUAGUUGUGAAGUAACUCGGAUAUGCAUAACAAUACGCUUGUUUCAAGUCAAGGAUAUUCGCGAAUUAUGUCAAAAUGUGUUCGAUACAUACUGUCGGAUAUAUGGUUUAUGAAACCAUAUAACCUUAGAUAAACUUAGAUAUGUUUCGACCAAAGAUUGGUCCAGGCCAUGGCUGUCUAUGUAUCAAUCGAUCUAUUUAUCUAUCUAUUUAUAAGCACCUUUUCUUUUAUUCUUUUAUAUGUUUCAGCUCUGAGGCUGUGGCCAUGCUAGGGCACCGCCAUUAUUACGAAUAAUAUCUAAAUGCUGUUAUAUUAUCAAUAGAUUAUCCUUCAUAUAAUUUCUUUUGCUUUUAUAUUUAUUUUAGAUCUGGAUUAAGUCUUUGCACUACGAAGCACAGGAAGAAAGAGAAUUCCAAUUUAUAAUUUCCAUAGACAUAUAAUUGACUCAAUUUGGGGCUGCCAUACCAAAGUACGUAAUAACGUCAGGUAAGCUUCGCUUCAUU
rnacentral:lncRNA from 1 species